AUGAACACUUCUUCAACUUUUUCUUGAUCCUAUCACCAAGUUUAUGAUUCUAUCGCCAAGUUCAUCUCCCAAAUUCUUCUUGCUUUUUCAAGUUUAUGAGCGUGUGUGUGUGUGAAGGACUAAAGGACCAUCGUGGCCCAGAGGCUCAAUUCUGAAAUCCUCGCUUUCACCUCCGCGGGUCGCCGGGGAUGGGAAGAGACAGAGAAACUGUGGAGGCCGAGGGAAGCGCUGCCCCGAUAACCAAGCCCUGGAGAAGCCCAGAGGAGUGGGAGAAAGGUGCCCAGAGACAGGAGGGCACGGGAGCCCAGCGGUGGGACCGCACCAGGAGGCGAUGCUGCGGAAGGGUCAGGAUUAAUCCAGGCGGGUGGUGGCAAGAUGAGACGCUGCCCAGGGAGCCAAGCACAGAGUGUCUUUCCUACCUGUGUCAGACUGCGAAGGUUUUAAAGAUGAAGUGAUCUUGAAAUUGUGUCCGCGUCAUUUAAAAGAUAAGUGGUAAAGCAAAUGUUUCAGUCACCUCCCUUCCUCCCCAUUUUCCCCCUUUCCUUUUCCUUCCUGCCUUUAUUCUUCUGUUCUUAAUGUGAAAGUUUAAAAUCCAAUCCAAUAGCAAUUUUUUAAAAGCAUAAAUAAUCUGAAACCCUCACUUGCUCUUUAAAUGAGCUGCAUCAACACUUGACUUUUACUCCCACCUAGUGGCAAGAAAGAACCUUGAGUCUAAGAGAAACAGUUAAACCAGUUUGCUUAGUAAUGUAUUUCGUAGUUAUUGGAGAAUACUUAAUUGCAUUUACUUUUUAUAUUUUGUAGACAAAGAGCUCUUAGAUAUAACACUCACUCAAGGUUCAUGGAAUCUACUUUGAAAAAAACCAAGAUUCCUCUGACUGAAAUGCUUUAUUUUUCAACUUGUAAUUUUAAAUUCGAACUACUUUACAGUAUCCAAAUACCGAUGGUAGAACAUGUAUAUUUUUAAAGUUUAGUAUUUUAUCUUAUUUUAUUAUUAUGCUAUUUCUUAAUUUAUGGUAAUUUGUUAAUGUCGUAGUUCCCUUAAAGCUUCUUAAACAAUUGACUAUAAUUUUUGUGUACUCCUUAAUGGCUUUCCCAGAAUUGAUGCUCCCCACUAGGCAUGACACUGGUGGUUCAGUUUUUCUGCUACUCUUCAAAUAAUUGAAAGGAUUCAUAUUGGGCACAAACCCCACAUGUGUGAGCAAUGUGGAAGAACUUUCAUUUGUUCCUCUAAGUAUUGAAGACAGGAACUCAAAUGAAUGAGAAAGCUUCUGUAUAUAAGCAAUAAGGAAAAAUCCUUCAGAUGUUCCAGUUUCCUUUUUAAAAAAAUGAAAAAAAGGUUUAAAUGAAUAGAGUAUGUCGAGGAUACCCUUAAAUACAAUACUUUUUCAAAAGCCCUCUGUUGGCCCACAUGGAAGAAUUAACACUGGAUAAAAUCCUCUGUCAAACAUUGGUCUUUUAAAAGCCAGGGUCUCUGAGAUUCAUCAAGCACUUUCUCCAGACGAUUAGCCCGAGGACCAUAGGUGAUGAUCCAGGUGGAGGUGAAGUCACUGAAGGGUCCUGUCUCGAGUACUGCCCACUCCAAACAUUCGAACCCAGUCCAGGGAAUCUCAGCGCUACAACUGCAGAGAAAACACA